rnacentral:misc_RNA from 1 species
GAUGAAGAACGUAGCGAAAUGCGAUAAGUAAUGUGAAUUGCAGAAUUCAGUGAAUCAUCGAAUCUUUGAACGCACAUUGCGCCCGCCAGUAUUCUGGCGGGCAUGCCUGUCCGAGCGUCAUUUCAACCAUCAAGCCCCCGGGCUUGUGUUGGGGACCUGCGGCUGCCCGCAGGCCCUGAAAACCAGUGGUGGGCUCGCUGUCACACCGAGCGUAGUAGCAAUCACCUCGCUCAGGGCGUGCUGCGGGUUCCGGCCGUUAAACAGCCUUACAAAACCCAAGGUUGACCUCGGAUCAGGUAGGAAGACCCGCUGAACUUAAGCAUAUCAAUAAGCGGAGGA